UUAAAGAGCUCGUAGUUGGAUUUCUGCGGGGGCGGGGCGGCCGGUUGCUUAUAGCAACUCGAGCUAGCACUUCCCCCGCAUCCUGCCGCGAACCGUGCUACCAUUAGUUUGGUGGCGCUGGGGAUCGGCUCGUUUACUUUGAGAAAAAUAGAGUGUUCAAAGCAGGCCACACGCCUUGAAUAAGUUAGCAUGGAAUAAUGAUAAAGGACUUCGGUUCUAUUUUGUUGGUGUUCGGGACUGAAGUAAUGAUUGAUAGGGACAGUUGGGGCGGUCAGUAUUCCAAAGCGAGAGGUGAAAUUCUUAGACCUUCGGAAGACUAACAGCUGCGAAAGCGUUCCGCAAGGAUGUUCCCUUUGAUCAGGAACGAAAGUUGGGGGAUCGAAGA
rnacentral:rRNA from 1 species